rnacentral:rRNA from 1 species
GAUCCUGGCUCAGAUUGAACGCUGGCGGCAUGCUUUACACAUGCAAGUCGAACGGCAGCACAGGGAGCUUGCUCCCGGGUGGCGAGUGGCGCACGGGUGAGUAAUACAUCGGAACGUGUCCUGUUGUGGGGGAUAACUGCUCGAAAGGGUGGCUAAUACCGCACUGAGACCUGAGGGUGAAAGCGGGGAUCGCAAGACCUCGCGCAAUUGGGAGCAGCCGAUGCCCGAUUAG